rnacentral:rRNA from 1 species
GACGAACGCUGGCGGCGUGCUUAACACAUGCAAGUCGAACGGAAAGGCCCUGCGUUUGUUGCGUGCUCGAGUGGCGAACGGGUGAGUAACACGUGAGUAACCUGCCCUUGACUUUGGGAUAACUUCAGGAAACUGGGGCUAAUACCGGAUAGGAGCUCCUGCUGCAUGGUGGGGGUUGGAGAGUUUCGGCGUUUGGGGAUGUACUCGCGGGUUAUGAGCUUGUUGGUGGGGUAGGGGCUUACCAAGGCUUUGACGGGUAGCCGGCCUGGGAGGGUGGACGGCGACCUUGGGACUGAGAGACGGCGCAGACUCCUACGGGACGCAGCAGUGGGGAAUAUUGCACAAUGGGCGGAAGCGUGAUGCAGCAACGCCGCGUGCGGGAUGACGGCCUUCGGGUUGUAAACCGAUUUCGCCUGUGACGAAGCGUGAGUGACGGUAAUGGGUAAAGAAGCAACGGCUAACUACGUG